CACGUAGGGGGCAAGCGUUGUCCGGAUUUAUUGGGCGUAAAGAGCUCGUAGGCGGUUCGGCAAGUCGGGUGUGAAACCCCCAGGCUCAACCUGGGGACGCCACCCGAUACUGCUGUGACUUGAGUCCGGUAGGGGAGCGUGGAAUUCCUGGUGUAGCGGUGAAAUGCGCAGAUAUCAGGAGGAACACCGGUGGCGAAGGCGGCCCCCUGGUUGGAUACUGACGCUGAGACGCGAAAGCGUGGGGAGCAAACAGG
rnacentral:rRNA from 1 species